UACGGAGGGGGGCGAGCGUUAUUCGGAAUUAUUGGGCGUAAAGGGCGCGUAGGUGGCCCUGUAAGUCAAAGGUGAAAUCCCUCGGCUCAACCGAGGAAUUGCCCUUGAAACUGCAGGCUUGAGGCCGGGAGGGGGUAGCGGAAUUCCCGGUGUAGCAGUGAAAUGCGUAGAGAUCGGGAGGAACAUCUGUGGCGAAGGCGGCAUCCUGGACCGACACUGACGCUGAGGCGCGAAAGCUAGGGUAGCAAACGGG
rnacentral:rRNA from 1 species